rnacentral:misc_RNA from 1 species
GGGGAUUACACCUGAAAGAUGAAUCAUGAAGCAUUUUGUAGGCUAUAGCAUGAGCAGCACUAUUACAAGAAUAAGGAACGUAAAGAAAUUGAAUAAAAUUUGCAAAACUAGCAAGCAAAAGAAAUAUCAUGUCCAGAUAUAUGCACUCUCACUCAAUACUCACCUCCAUAAUAUGUUUAUGUAAAUCCAAUCCAUAACUUUGAGGCCAUUCAAUUUUUCCUUUUUGAAAUAUUGUUCUGAGAUUUCCAAAUUAUUUUAAAUAGUCAUAUAACAAAUCUUUUGGUGGUGUUGGUCAUUUGCACCCGCUGUGUUUGCCUUCAAAAUUUUGAGUUUUUCUCUAAAAAAUUUCCUGAUUCAAUUUGUG